GGGUCCUGGUGCAUCCGGUUCUCCGUGUCCCGGGGCCAUCCCCGGCCCCUUCCCGAGAGCUCCCGGCGGCUCCAGCGGGCGCUGCUGCUCCGCAGAGCCGGGACCGACACCGGGGAGGGGCCCCGGGCUCCGGCACACGCGGCCGAGUGCUGGGAGCGGAGCCCGAGGGCUGAGCCUGGGCUGGGGCCGCGCUCGGAGCUGGGCAAUGGAGUCCUGAGCGUUGGGGUCUGGAAACCAAGCGGGGCCGGUUCGGGGUCAGAACCAGAGACCGAGUCCUGCGGGCCGGGGGCAGGACCCGGGGUCACUAAAACCGGGUUUGGGGCUCGGCAAUGGAGACCAAGCCCCACGUGUUGGAGUCUGGAGCCCGGCUCACGGGGUGCCCAAUGGGCUGGAGGCUGUGAGCAUCGAGAGCAGGGGCUGCCUGUCCACGCUGACCUUCUGCAGCAUCUCAAAGGACUAUGGCAACUCCAUGCGUAUGGCCAGGAGCAAGCUGGGCAUCACCAGUGCCAGCAGCAUCCUGUAGGGCAGGCACCCUGCUCCUUUUACAGCAAGGUGCAGCGAGGAGGAAGAGGAAGAAGGAGAGGAUGAAGAGGAGGUGAAUGGCCGGCCAGCAAUAGAAGGGAGUGGGUUUUCUUUAGCAAUGCCAGCCCAUGGAGGUGCAGAACGGCCGAGCUCUGAGCGCCGAGGAUGCAUCAGAGGAUGCUGAGGAGCUGUGCAUGGGCCCAUGCAGGAGGGCCCUGCUUGGUGGUGGUCAUGGUGCGUGUUUAGGGAUGAGCAGCGGACGGUGAAGAGACAGAUGGGACAUCGUUGGAACGCAGGCCCAAGGAGAGGCCCCGUGCAGGGACAGGUCGAGCACCCCGGGAUGGUCCCUGAAGAGAGCUGCGAUUCCAGAAGGGAUACGACGUUUGGGACGGACUCUGGACAGGUAUAAGAACCCCCUCCCUCCCCCUAGCCCCUCCCCUCCAGAGCAGAGGGAAGGGGUUGGGGGGACGGAAGGGGUUAGGGGAGG